rnacentral:rRNA from 1 species
AUUGAACGCUGGCGGCAGGCCUAACACAUGCAAGUCGAACGAGUGGCGGACGGGUGAGUAAUGUCUGGGAAACUGCCCGAUUGAGGGGGAUAACUACUGGAAACGGUAGCUAAUACCGCAUACCAUCGGAUGUGCCCAGAUGGGAUUAGCUAGUAGGUGGGGUAACGGCUCACCUAGGCCACGAUCCCUAGCUGGUCUGAGAGGAUGACCAGCCACACUGGACCUGAGACACGGGACAGACUCCUACGGGGGGCAGCAGUGGGGAAUAGUGCACAAUGGGCGAAAGCUUGAUGCAGCCAUGACGCGUGUAUGAAGAAGGCCUUCGGGUUGUAAAGUACGUUCAGCGGGGAGGCGUUACCAGCAGAAGAAGCACCGGCUAACUCCGUGCCAGCAGCCGCGGUAUAC